AUCAUAUAUAUAGAGGGCUACCGUUUCUCAAGAAGAUACGCAGCUAAAGAAAAUCGCGCGAAGGUACUUGCAACUUCCAGAUACUAAAACCGUCGUCAUUUCCUACAAAAGCAAGAAACUUGCUGACUGAAUAUUGCUGGCUGUUAGAGAAUAUACAGUGUCGUAACAAUAAAUAUUUCUACAAAGAAAAAAUGACUCGACUGUUUUUAUUAUAGUUGAUAUUGUAUUUAAUCUAAUAACUUUCAUUAACCCUCGAAAUCGUUCU